UGUUAUUGAGAUCCUGCUGCUGCUGUAGAAAAGGAUGCAUGCAAGCCAAGAUGUGAGGUGCAAGGGGCUGUCCAAGCUGAAAUCCUGUUGAAAUUUUACUGCAUAUAUUGAGCUGCUGCUGUACCUAUUCGGAGAGAUAUGAGAUGUGUUUUCAGUAUCGUGGGCCCAAAGGUCAGAAGCAUAGUUUUGAUUGUGACUCUGACAGUCUAGGGCACGGUGUGGUCGAGGUGCGUUUUGGGUACCAUGGCCUAGAGGUCAGAGGAUGUGCGAUGUGUGAUGGGCAGUAAUAAUUGUAACAUCGAUAGUCUGAGGCACGGCUUGGCCAACCAUAGACUUAGAGAUGCUGAGGCCACAUUCUCAUGGAAUGCUAUUUUUGGAAGAUGGAAAUUGGUGCUGAGGCGGGACUAGACUUUAGCAGCGGUUGUGAAGCUUAUGUCGACGAGAUGUUGGGAUUUGAUGGGCUUCACUAUUAUUCAGUUCUUCCUUCUUGGUGUAUAAAUAUUUAUGGAUGUGUAGUAAGUAGUAUUGUAACAUGUGGUUGUUUCUAGACAUGAAAUUUUGUAUAAUAUAAUUUAUCACUUUAGUACAUCACUAGUUAUAUUAUAUGAUUUUAAUAGCA